rnacentral:rRNA from 1 species
UGCAGUCGAACGGUGAUGUCAGAGCUUGCUCUGGCGGAUCAGUGGCGAACGGGUGAGUAACACGUGAGUAACCUGCCCCCGACUCUGGGAUAACUGCUAGAAAUGGUAGCUAAUACCGGAUAUGACGAUUGGCCGCAUGGUCUGGUCGUGGAAAGAAUUUCGGUUGGGGAUGGACUCGCGGCCUAUCAGGUUGUUGGUGAGGUAAUGGCUCACCAAGCCUACGACGGGUAGCCGGCCUGAGAGGGUGACCGGCCACACUGGGACUGAGACACGGCCCAGACUCCUACGGGAGGCAGCAGUGGGGAAUAUUGCACAAUGGGCGAAAGCCUGAUGCAGCAACGCCGCGUGAGGGAUGACGGCCUUCGGGUUGUAAACCUCUUUUAGUAGGGAAGAAGCGAAAGUGACGGUACCUGCAGAAAAAGCACCGGCUAACUACGUGCCAGCAGCCGCGGUAAUACGUAGGGUGCAAGCGUUGUCCGGAAUUAUUGGGCGUAAAGAGCUCGUAGGCGGUUUGUCGCGUCUGCUGUGAAAUCCCGAGGCUCAACCUCGGGUCUGCAGUGGGUACGGGCAGACUAGAGUGCGGUAGGGGAGAUUGGAAUUCCUGGUGUAGCGGUGGAAUGCGCAGAUAUCAGGAGGAACACCGAUGGCGAAGGCAGAUCUCUGGGCCGUAACUGACGCUGAGGAGCGAAAGCAUGGGGAGCGAACAGGAUUAGAUACCCUGGUAGUCCAUGCCGUAAACGUUGGGAACUAGAUGU